rnacentral:rRNA from 1 species
AGUGAACGCUGGCGGUAGGCCUAACACAUGCAAGUCGAACGGCAGCACAGGAGAGCUUGCUCUCUGGGUGGCGAGUGGCGGACGGGUGAGGAAUACAUCGGAAUCUACUCUGUCGUGGGGGAUAACGUAGGGAAACUUACGCUAAUACCGCAUACGACCUACGGGUGAAAGCAGGGGAUCUUCGGACCUUGCGCGAUUGAAUGAGCCGAUGUCGGAUUGGCUAGUUGGCGGGGUAAAGGCCCACCAAGGCGACGAUCCGUAGCGGGUCUGAGGGGAUGAUCAGCCACACUGGAAAUGAGGCACGGUCCAGACUCCUAGGGGAGGCAGCAGUGGGGGAUAUUGGACCAGGGGCGCAAGCCUGAUCCAGCCAGACCGCGUGGGUGAAGAAGGCCUUCGGGUUGUAAGGCCCUUUUGUUGGGAAAGAAAUCCAGCUGGCUAAUACCCGGUUGGGAUGACGGUACCCAAAGAAUAAGCACCGGCUAACUUCGUGCCAGCCGCCGCGGUAA